ensembl:lncRNA
CAGCCUGUAAACACCCCUUCAUCAGCAGGCCCUGCUCCCAACGUCUGAGGAGCUGGUUCACCAACAUCCUGCAAGGGCCUGCUGACAGCAUUUCCCACCUUUCUGCUCCGCCCUGCUGGCUCCUUUGACUUGCUCCCCAGAUGCAGAGUUGACAGUCCUGGUUUUGCCAGCCUUGCCCUUCAGGACAGGCAGGGCUCUGUGCUGGGAGCAGAGGUCUCAAGGGACUGCUGUGUCUGACCCUGAACCUGUAACCUCAGCCCUCUGUGUUCACUACACAGAACUCAGGUGGGCUUGUCUCAGGGCCAGGGGCCAGCGGAAGCCACCACCCCCGGUGAAGCCUCAGCCUCGAUGAGGCCCUGCUCAGACUGCACUGUGGGCUUCACGUUAGGAAGGUCUACUGGCCUGAAAGGUCUCAGAAGCCUGGCCCACACCUUCACCUUCUGUCUCGGGGCCCCUGCCUCCAGCUGCAGGACCGGACCAGGGGUUGUAUCCCCACCGUACACACACCUGGACUCUGCAGCUUCUAUGGCCGCCAUUGGAAGACUCUCCUGAGAUUCAGCUCUGCCUCCCGCGGAAGUGGGCAUCCAGCAUUCUGUGUGCUGUGGGGUAGGGGAGCAGAGUCUCUCUUAUCACUUCCCCGUGGGCAGCUUCACAGGAGUCACUCGCGUGUCACCAGCCCUCAUUCUCCGUCAGUCAUCUGGGUAACACGUUCCCUCUCCCAAUGAGUGAUCAUCUUUCUACUUUGUUGGUGGUGACUUCUGUGGUCAUCAUGCUGUGAACUUCAUCCGAGCUACUGCAGCUAGCAAGAACUCAUUUACUCUUUUGGCUGCGUGAUAUUCCACAGUUAACUAUAAAACUGCCCCAGCAGCCCUUUGACAGUAUGGUGUGCCGGUGAACUGCUGCCUGUCCAAUCCAGAUUCCGCUAUUGAAAGUCUACCUUGACCUUUCAACCUGAUGCCUGACAUUACCUAAAGGGGCCAAGCUGGCUUUGGCCUGAAGCCAAACAAGAUGACGCUACAUCCUGACUGCUUUGCCGAUUGUUUCUCCCCAUUCUGCAUGUGGGCUGUUUUAUAACCUGCACUCCUCAAACUCUGAUCAGUGAUCACCUUAAGCCUGAUCUUAGUGAGGCAAAAUGAAGACUUUGUGAUAAAUAGUGGUUUCUGCCAAAAACCUGUCUAUGACAGAGAAUUGGGGGAAUCUGAAAACCGAAACGAGUUUGGUCAAGUUGGGAAAAGCAGCGUGGCAAGUCGGACUGGCAGCCCUAGAGACCUGAGGGAGAGGGUGACCGACAUGACUAUAGCUGGGUUUCUGUUUGUGAGCUGGACAUGUUUCCACAGUUUAACUGCAGACACAGCCUCUAUAGGCAUGGCUACAAUGUUCCCGGCUUUGUGUUGAGCACAUAACAUGCAUUUGUUGUUUGAUUGUCGUGGGGUGAAUGGAGGACCCCUCCAAACACACGCCCACAUCCUAACCUCCGGACCCCAUGAAUAGGACCAGAUUUAGAAAAAGGACCUUUGCAGACAUAAUGAAGUUAAGGAUCUCGGGAUCGUCUCUGAUUAACCAAGUGGGCCCUAUACCCAACGCCAAGAAUCUUUAUAGAAGACCCAGAGAGAGACAGGUGAGGAAGCCCACGAGAAGACAGGGGGCAGAGAGUGGAGUGAGACGGCCACAGGCCAAGGAAAACCCAGACUCACCAGGAGCUGGGAGAGACAGGGACUUUCCCCCUCGAGCCUUCGGAAGGAGCACGGCCAUGCUGAUGCCUUGAUUUUGGACUUCUGGCCUUCAGAAUGGUGACAGAAUGCUUUUCUGUCGUAAGGCACCCAGCUUAUAGCAAUUUGUGAUGGCAGCUCUAGGAAACGAUGAUUCCUUCAACUGCCCUGGGAAAUGGGCAUGUCAGUGACAUGCCCAAGGUCACAACCUAACUCCUGUGGGAUUCCAUUUACUUCUGUCAGAAAAAUGAGGAUGUUGGAAUAAAAGGUUGAAAUGUAUUCCCCCAAGUUUCCCAUAAACGUGUGAAUAAAUUGAGGUUAUCGCCAGAGGCUGUAAGAGGCUUUAGCAACAUGGCCUCUUGCUGCCCUCUAGUGGUCAGGAUGGUGAAUGUCACCACGUUGUCUCCGUCGUUUCUAGCUCCGUGUGUGCGCGCGCGCGCCUGUGUGUGUGUGUGUGUGUGUGUGUGUGUGUGUGUGUGUGUGUGUGAGUCUCUCUCAGUCGUGUCUAAGUCUUUGAGAUCCCAUGGACUGUAAGCCCACCAAGCUUCUCUGUCCAUGGAAUUUUCCAGGCAAGAAUACUGGAGUGUGUAGCCAUUCCCUCUUCCAGGGAACCUUUCCCCACCCAGGGAUCAAACCCAGGUCUUCUGCAUUGUAGGCGGAUUCUUUACCAUCUGAGACACUAGGGAAGCCCAGCUCCACCGAGAACCAGUAAAAAGCUGUGCACUUUAGCAGAAUAAAACUUAAGAAAUGUCUCUCUGUGCUCUACCAGGGUCCGCCUACAAGAAGAGAGAUUAUGUUCACUUCAUUAGGGCACAUCCAGCCACCCAGCGCUGAGCCCUGAAGAGGAGAGGAGGCAAGGUGCAGCAGCAGGGCCUGGUGGGACUGGUCCCCCGCCUACUCCUGGGUGAACCUGGGCGUGGUGCAGCCCUCUUGGAGCUGCCCGUUCCUCGUCUGUGAAAUGAGCACAAUACUUGCCUCACACUAUGAGACGAAAUGAUAUAAAGUGCCCAGCACAUGGCAGGCCCUCAACAAAGGUUGAUACGCGAUACAUUUUGUGUGAAAGAAAUGCGAUCACCUACAUAAAGGACAGGGGUUUCCCUGGUGGCUUAGUGGUAAAGAAUUCACCUCCCAAAGCAGGAGAACGCGUGUUCGCUCCCUCGGUCAGGGAGAUCCCCUGGAGAAGGAAAUGGCAGCCCGCUCCAGUAUUCUUGCCUGGGAAAUCCCAUGCACAGAAGAGCCUGGUGGGCUACAGUCCAUGGGGUCACAGAAGAGUCGAACGUGACUUAGCGACUAAACAACCACAACACAAAACAAAAUGUCAGAGCCUAGAAGAGAGCCAUAAAUGGUGUGUGAAUGAGAAGGAAGCAGGAGGGUAUUCGGGGGGGAAUCCUGGACUUGUCAGAGCUUUGGGGCCUGAUUUAUUAGCCCUGAGACACACUCACUCUGUGUCACUUCUCUGGACCUCAGCUUUGUCAUCUGUGAAAUGGAAAGUUGAAGAAAAGAAUCCAGUAACUGAAAGCCCAUGGACAGUGACUUAAUCCAUUGACCAAAUCUGUCCUGCCACUUGUUUUCAUGCAGCCCGUGAGCUAAAAAUGAUUUUUACAGUUUAAAUGGCUGAAAACAAUCAAGAGAAGAACUGUUUUAUGACGUGUGAAAAAAUAUGAAAUUCAAAUAUGUGUCUGCAAAUCAAGUUCUGUUGGAAUCUAGCCAAGCUCAUUUUUUAUGUUUUGUCCAUGGUUCCUUUCUUGCUAAAACAGCAGAAAUGAGGCGUUGGUUUAGAAAGCUGAAAAUAUCUGACCCUUCACAGAAAAAGUUAGCCAACCUCCAGCUUAACCAAGAAAGCUAUUUGAAGCUCAGAAUGACAGCAUUCUGGGUUUACAUCUCAGCAGUCGUCUUGACCUUUCCUUGGGUCUCAUGGUGCCAGCCUCAGUUCCGUGAAUCACGAGCUAUAUUCACUACAAUAAGUAAGGAGCAGGGAGGAAGGCUCCCCUGCCAUGGCACUUUUAUCCAGGAAGAGAAUACUUCCCAGAAACCCUGUGUGUGUGUGUGUGUGUGGGCGGGGGGGGAGUGUUAGUUUCUUAGUCGUGUCCGUUUCUUUUCGACCCCGUCGACUAUAGCUUGCCAUGCUCCCCUGUCCAUGCGAUUCUCCAGGCAAGAAUACUGGAGUGGGUAGCCAUUCCCUUCUCCAGAGGAACUUCCUGACCCAGGGAUUGAACCCAGGUCUCCUGCAUUACGAGCAGAUUCUUUACCAUCUGUGCCACCAGGGAAGCCCCUCCCAGAAGCCCUACCAGUUGUUUAUAAGAAGAUAAGAGCACGGGAGAGCAGAGGGACUAACUGCAAGGACUCAAGUGACUGAUGGGGAUGGCCUGAACUGAGAGGAUGAAGAUGGUGAGAUGUGGACAGAUUCUGGAUACUUUCUGGGGGGAUUUCUGCUGGACUGAUUGGGUAGGGGUGGAAGGCAGAGAAAAUGGGGACCGAGGGUCGUAUCCACAUAUUUGGCUUAAACCACUGGGAAGCUCCUGGGAUUAUUGGACAAGUUUUACAGAAAAGGUAACUUUUAGGAAUGAAUCCAAAUGUAUUUCUUACAUAAGAGCUUUGACUGCACGUGUGUGUGUGUGUGUGUGUGUGUGUGUGUGUGUGUGUGUAUCCUCUCUUACUGGGAUGCUCCCGUGCCCAGCAGGUUGGCGAGGGGGCAGAGGGGUAGAGUAGUGCUCACCACCAGCAGGUUGGCACGGGCUUGCUGCUGUAGCAACUUACUGAUCCCGGCCCUCACAGCAUGCUCACCACAUGCCAUGUGCUGUGCAAAGUGCUACCAAUAUUAACAGAUGUAAUCCUCAGAACAACCCAGAAGCCCCUUUACCAAUUCUCAUUUUAUUGAUGAGGAAAUCUGGGAUUCAGGAAAGUGAGGUGAUGUGCCCCAAAUGACAGCAUGGCUGGUGGCAAAGCCAACAUUUGAACUUGAGCCAUCGGAUUUCAGAGUCUAGGCUUACGAACAGCCCCUUCCAGCCACAGCAAAGGAAGGCAGGGCAGAGUGCUGAGCAGUUUGUCUUCCUUUCAGAGUCUCUAAAUGUAAAAACACUUAAGUGCUGGCACAUAGUAAGUGCUCACUAAAGUAUAAUAAUUGCUGUUAUUUUUAUUAACACCAAGGAACCUGGCAGGCUACAACCCUCUUGAGUGGCCAUGUUCUGUAGGAGGCAGAAGAUGCAAGUUGGGGGAGAAAUUGAUUUAUAUCAGAUGCCAAACCAUCAAAAAUAACUGGCAGGAGAGAAGAAAUCAGACAGAGUGUGUGAGUGUCUUUAUUUCUCUUUAUUUGUUGUCACACUGUUACAGUUAAAGAGUGGAAAUUUAGCAAGAAAAAGAACACAAGUCUGCCCACAUUCUUCUAGAUUUACAUUCUUUUCACUUAUUGAAAAAGGAAAAAAAAUUGGACCAAAUGUUAAAAACAUGAAAAAAAUCAAAAGGCAAGAAAUAUGGAGGGGAAAAAAAUCAGACUGGCAGCUAUGUGGAAAUUGAAAAAUGCAAAUAACAUGGAGCUUGUUUCAAUUAUCUGACGCCCCCAUGCUGGAAUUGAUUACUGCUGUUGGGAGGAGAAAAAGGGAUGAGAGAAUUCUGCAAAUGAGAUCCUCAGAUCUUUCGUGAGAAAUUCAAUCCCAGACACAAAAGUGCUAGAGGGGCAGGUUGAGAGGUGAAGAAUGUGAGAAUUCCCUUUUGAGGGGAGCUGGCAAGAAUUCCUUGCUCUAGGGUUGAUGUCCCUGUAGUAACAAGGAUUUACCUCCAGGGGGCAUCCAACUUCCUGCACCAGAAAGAUGAGGUUCCAGGGUCCGCGGUGGGAAAGGGAGAGGCCCUGGUAGACUUGGAACCCCGAAGGCAGGGCAGCUCUGGCUGCCUCAGCAAUGCUCUCUCCAUUCAGAAAGGUCUUGAGUAAGGUCUUCUGAAGUCAAAACCAAACCACAAAAGAGAAACGGUACACAAGAAAAAGAAAGCAGCCAUGGGCAGAAGAGAGCCGCGCUUUUCAAAUCAGUCAUUCCAGAAGGAAAUUUGUGGUCAGGAAUGGCUGCCCAUGAGAACUGCUUUUCUGGGAAUGACAGAAAAUGUCUCAUUAAGGAGGAAAUGAAGGUGACCCCCUAAAUAAGAGGUCAACAAACUUUUUUUGUCAAGGGAAGGUUAGUAAAUAUUUUAGGCUUUGCAGACAGUUGGGCUCUGUUGCAACAAUACUGGCAUAGUGUGAGAUUAGCCGUAGACAAUGAGUAAGCCAAUGACCACGACUGUGUUCCAAUAAGUUUAUUUACGGACACUAAAAUUUGAAUUUCACUGUGAAGAGAAUAGAAAGACAAGCCACAGACUGGCAGAAGAUAUUUGCAAAAAGCGUCUGAUACGCAAAAUAUACAAAGAAUUCUUAAAACUCAACAAUGAGAAAAUAACCCAAUUAGAAAAUGAGCAGCAGAUCUGGACAGACACCUCACCAAAGAAGACACACAGAUGUCACGUAAGCGUAUGAAAAGAUGCUCAACAUCAUAAGUCAUUAGGGAACUGCACAUUAAAACAACGAGUACCACUACACACCACCUAGAAACGCUAAAAUCCGAAACGCUGACAUCAAAUGCUGACAAAGACGUGGAGUCACAGGAACUCUCACACAUUGCUGGUGGGAAUGCAAAAUGGUACAGCUACUUUGGAAGACUGGUUGCUGCUGCUGCUAAGUCGCCUCAGUCGUGUCUGACUCUGUGCAACCCCAUAGACGGCAGCCGACCAAGCUCCCCCGUCCCUGGGAUUCUCCAGGCAAGAACCCUGGAGUGCUUUGCCAUUUUCUUCUCCAAUGCAUGAAAGUAAAAAGUGAAAGUGAAGUCACUGAGUCGUGUCCAACUCUCACCGACCCCAUGGACUGCAGCCUACCAGGCUCCUCGGUCGAUGGGAUUUUCCAGGCAAGAGUACUGGAGUGGGGUGCCAUUGCCUUCUCCUGGAAGACUGGUGGUUUCUAGCCAAACCAAACAUACUGUACCAUCCAGCAAUCACACUCCUUGGUAUUUAUCCAAAUGACUUGAACAUUUACGUCCACGCAAACGGGCAUGCAAAUGUUUCUAACAACCUUAUUCUUAUUUGCCAAAACUUGAAAAUGACCAAGAUGACCUUCAGUAGGUGAAGGGGUAAACAAGCUGUGGUCCAUCCAGACAGUGGUGUGUCACUGAGCAAUAAAAGAGAUGAGCUAACAGGCCAUGAAUAUACACAAAGGAUAUUCAAACGUGUGUUACCAAAUGAAAGGGGCCAAUCUGAAAAGGCUCCGUACUGCAUAAUUCCAACUGGUUGAUGUUCUAGAAAAGGCAAAACUAUGCAGACGGUACAAAGGUCAGUAGAUGCCACAAACUGGGAAGGAGGAGGAAGGAUGGAUAAAUGGAGGCUAGGCAUAUGUGCAGAGGAUUUUUAGGGCAGUGAAGCUAUGCUGUGUGAUACUGUGAUGGUGGAUACAUGUCUUUAUAUAUUUGCCAAAAUCCAUAAAAUAUACACCAUCAGGUGUGCCUGUGUGUUUGUGCCCAGUCAUGUCCGACUCUUUGCAACCCCGUGGACUAUAGCUCACCAGGCUCCUCUGUCCAUGGGAUUUCCCAGGCAAGAAUACUGAAGUGGGUUGCCAUUUCCUUCUCCAAGGAAUCUUCCCAAGGAGUGAACACUAAUGUAAACUAUAGACUUUAGUUCAUAAUAAUGUACCAACAUUGGCUUAUCCGUUGUAACAAAUGUACUUCAUUAAUACAAGAUAAUUGAAGGCCAUGGAGUGGUAGCAGUAGUGGGUAUGUGGAAACUCUGUACAUGCGGCUCUUUAUUUUCUGUAAACUUAAAACUAGUAAAAAAAAAAAAACCAACAAAAUAAAGCCUAUUAAAAAAAGAAAGGAAAAUAUUUUCGAUUUCAUAUAUUUUCAUGUGUCAAAAUAUUCUUUUUUUGAUAGUGUAAAAAGCACUUUUAGCUUGUUCAUACAAAAAUAAGAUCAUACAAAAAUAAGUGGAUUUGGUGGAUUUGGCCAGCAGGUAUUUUGCCAGCCCCUAACGCUGU